UACGUAUGGUGCAAGCGUUAUCCGGAUUUACUGGGUGUAAAGGGAGCGUAGGUGGUGAGGCAAGCCAGAAGUGAAAACCCGGGGCUCAACUCCGCGGAUUGCUUUUGGAACUGUUUUACUGGAGUGCAGGAGGGGUAAGCGGAAUUCCCAGUGUAGCGGUGAAAUGCUUAGAUAUUGGGAGGAACACCAGCGGCGAAGGCGGCUUACUGGACUGUAACUGACACUGAGGCUCGAAAGCGUGGGGA
rnacentral:rRNA from 1 species